AGAUGUGAAGCUGCUGUCUGAUCUGGUGGAGAGUCCACACUGUAGACUGGAGACUCUGAGAUGGAAGCUGUGAUCUCUGUCAGAGUGAGUGAUCAGAAAAGUGGAUGUGUUGAGAGGAUCAGCCGUGUCCUGAUGAUCCACAGAGGUUCACCACCUGGACCUGCAUCUGAUUCUGUCUUUUUCAUUCAUUCCUUCAUAUAUUGUGAACCCAAAGUGCCUCUGCAGAGCAGCUCAGUUUAUAACAACAGAACUGUAGAUGAACACAUUUAACUAGAUCUCUCUGCUCUGCGUUGUGUUGCAGCUCCACUCUGUGGACCGACGGAGCUUUGCUGUUUAUUUCCACAUAUUUCUAAGUAACAGUGGAAGUUGAUAAAGUUCCCUUUCUAAACCCAAUACCAGACGUUUCUCAUAUUAUAGAAGAUAAAUAUCUGCUUGUAACAAACACAAAGAAUCAGAUAAACCUGAGUUCAGUCGAGGCUUCAGUGAAGUUUCUCAACUGACUAAAACAGGUUACGUCUGGAUUUUGGUGGAAAGUCAACACCUUCAUAUUUUAUUUAGUUUAUGAUUGUGAUCAUGUGACCUGACUGUGUUGAGUUCAAGAAGGCGGACUAAUACAGGAAGUUCAGGUAA